rnacentral:rRNA from 1 species
AUACGGAGGGUGCAAGCGUUAUUCGGAAUCACUGGGCGUAAAGCGCGCGCAGGCGGCUAUUUAAGUUGGAUGUGAAAGCCUAUGGCUCAACCAUAGAACUGCAUCCAAAACUAUUUAGCUAGAGUGUGGGAGAGGAAGAUGGAAUUAGUCGUGUAGGGGUAAAAUCCGUAGAGAUAACUAGGAAUACCAAAAGCGAAGGCAAUCUUCUGGAACACUACUGACGCUGAGGCGCGAAAGCGUGGGGAGCAAACAGGAUUAGAAACCCCAGUAGUCC